CCUUUUUUAUUUAUCAUCAUAGACUAUCUCUUCCAGCACUGUCAAAUGAAAUUAACAACUUCUUUUUCUUUAACAUCAAAUUUUGCUCAUGUCAAAACGACAUUAAAAGAAGAAAGAGAGAGAGAGGUACCCAUGGAACUGAACAAUCUUUGAAAUUAUACAAAUUAUUUGUCUUUGUUACUUUUGAUUGUGGAAGUCAAUUUUAUAAUCAACUUUGGAUCUCAGCCAUCAACAAAUUUAGUUUUAUUUACUUUCAAGAAACAGUAAUCCUAUUAUAUGACUCUUUUUUCUCCCUCUCCUGCCCCCACCAAAACCCUUAUUUUCCUCUACCUUUGACAAAGAAGAAAAAGGCAUAAUUAAGGAAAGAGGAAAAAUAAAAUAAAAUAAAAUAAAGAAAAGAAAAGAUACCUCAUUUGUGUGGAUUGAUCAAUCUGUUUUCUCUUAGACACGUUGUGUCUAAAAGGCUGCCACAGAGAGACUGAAGGGUGAUAACCGCAACC
rnacentral:lncRNA from 1 species